GGGGGUCCUGACUCCCAGCCCUCAUCCUGCCUUACCCCUCUGUUCCCAGCCCCAGCCUUUCUAAGCCAUUGGGAAUAGACUCCUCAAAUGCCACAUUCCCAGGAGGGACAGACCCUGAUGCUCUGUGAGGCGCAAGAAACCAAUAAAAUUAGCCGGGCGUGGUGACGGGUGCCUGUAGUCCCUGCUACUCGGGAGGCUGAGGCAGGAGAAUGGCGU
rnacentral:lncRNA from 10 species